rnacentral:lncRNA from 1 species
CCCGCGAGGCUGCGUCCCCGACCCAGUCGGCGCCCCCUCCUCGCCCCGCGGGCUCGCGGCAACUGGGCGGCGGGCCCGGCCCCUGCCCACCCCCAGCCCAGCCCGGGCGCGCCGCACUGGGCAUGCUCCGUAGCCUGGGCAGGUUGGGGCUGCGAGGCGACAGCUCGGGCUCUGGAGCCGGGAGGCGAGAAAGAGGAGGGAGGCUCGGGGGCAGGGGAGGAGGGAGCGGCGGGCCGCGGAGGGGCGGCGGGGCCCGGAGCCGGGGACGCGCAGGGCCCGGCGGUGGGCGGGCGGGUCGGCGCUGUCCCGUGGGCUCUCCGAGGAGCCACAGCGGAGACCCCCGCCCUCAGCUGAGGAAAAGACGGUUUCUCUCUGAUACAGAAUCCUGAAAUGUGAUCUCCCUUAAAAAGAGGACAGUGCUGCUGUGAGUUUGACGAAGUGGACAUCACCUGCAGUUGGUCCAGAGC